UUUUUCUGAACUGAGAAAUGGCAAGAUUUUAAGUGUUGAAAUGCUCCUCUCUGUAAUGGAAAUGGAGGGUAAUCUUGUGUAUGACUUCUUAUGGUUACAAUGUCAGACUAGUUCAUCAUACUAUACUACAAUAAUUGAAAUGCCAAUGCCAUGUCUCCCGAAGUAUAGAAGGUUUUUCGAUUCAUGAAACAUAAAAACACCAAACUGCAACAAAAACCCUGUUACAACACCCCCUCCCAGCUGCUCCAAAUGGAACGCUGGGGACAUGAAAAAGGGAAGGUAAUGAAACCAAACAGCAUAAGUGGUAGCACCAUGAGCUAAAGCAGCAAAUUCAUCGGCAACAAAAUUUGCUUCGAAUAGUGACUCCAGCAAAACCUAGAGCACAAGUGCACAACUGAUGUUCUUAUAUAGUACAUAGCAUUCUAUAUUAGUCUAAUAUCCAGGAGAAGCCAAUGCACUCGGUUUUCUUUCAAAGAGCACGAUAUCUGUUAGUAAAUUGUAUGACCAGUUCUUUCUAAAAUAACCGAGUCGUUAGUAAAUUGUAUGACCAGUUCUUUCUAAAAUAACCGAGUCCGGAAUUUUUUUGUAGUUCUGAGAAACUAUAAUACACGUCUGAUCAAAACCUUUGCGGUUACAGUGUCACACUAAUUUGGAGUACAAUACUAUGAAAGUAUGAAUAUUGAAAUGCCAAUGCAAUGUCUCCAAAACAUCCAGG
rnacentral:lncRNA from 1 species